UACAGAGGGUGCGAGCGUUAAUCGGAAUUAUUGGGCGUAAAGGGAGCGUAGGCGGAUGUGCAAGUGAUAGGUGAAAGACCCGGGCUUAACCUGGGGAGGUCCUAUCAGACUGCACGUCUAGAAUGUGGUAGAGGAAGGUGGAAUUCCUGGUGUAGCGGUGAAAUGCGUAGAUAUCAGGAAGAACAUCAAUGGCGAAGGCAGCCUUCUGGGCCAUUAUUGACGCUGAGGCUCGAAAGCGUGGGGAGCGAACAGG
rnacentral:rRNA from 1 species